CAUAUGCUCCCUCUGUCGGGAAUUACUUGUUGUAGAAAUGGAUGUAUCUAGACGUAUUUUAGUUCUAGAUACAUCCAUUUUUAUUCAUUUCUGCGACAAGUAAUUCGGGACGGAGGGAGUAUCUC
rfam:Triticum aestivum genome assembly, contig: Triticum_aestivum_CS42_TGACv1_scaffold_344373_4DL